GCCGCCUACGGAUCUCUUCCCAAGCACCUAGAACUUUCCAAAGCGUGCUUGGAAUUUAACACCUUGGUCGUCGAUCCCCGCAAAUAUACUCUGAUGAGACCGGCUUUCUUCCCAUACCGCCCAGGAGUUUCUCCAGGUGGCAUUCCUGUCGCCUUGAGGUGGAACAUCAGUAGAGGCUCGAGGCUGAAGCAAGCACAAUACACAAGAGACUCCGAUUCGUACAGGAACAUUUCGAAAACAGGAAAUCCUGAGGACAAUGUCCAAUUCUUUUCUAAAAGUCUU
rnacentral:lncRNA from 1 species